rnacentral:ncRNA from 1 species
ACGGACACCCUAAAGAGUCGCACCGCUCAAAGCGGCUCUAUUCCAUCCCGAU